CGGGCGACGCGGAGNGAACCCCAGAAACGGCGCCCCAGUUCGGAUUGCAGCCUGCAACUCGGCUGCAUGAAGCUGGAAUCGCUAGUAAUCGCGGAUCAGAAUGCCGCGGUGAAUACGUUCCCGGGUCUUGUACACACCGCCCGUCACACCAUGGGAGUUGGGAAUGCCCGAAGUCUGUGAGCUAACUGUAAAGAGGCAGCAGUCGAAGGUAGAAUCAAUGAUUGGGGUGAAGUCGUAACAAGGUAUC
rnacentral:rRNA from 1 species